GCCCAGCAUUAAAUCCCCGCUUGGAGGGCGGUGUGGGGGGGGGGUGCAUUCGGUAUGUCCGGGCGGUGGAUUUGGAGUUUGCUCGGUCGCGGGGGGCGAUCCUACAGAAUAAGUGCACCUGGAGGGUGCCGUAAUUUAGGUGGUUGAUUUGAGCGCACCGUGUUUAAUUAAAUCAGUGAGCUCGCCCGUGCCGGUCGCGGACAGACUGGGUGCGGAGCUGCUCCCUGCCGGUCGCGGCCCCUCCACUGGGGGCUGGGGCCCUCCUCUCCCCCCAGCGCGGCUUUGUGGGGUGCUGAGGAAGAAGUGCAGCUCUUCAGUGGCAGCCUCGGCAGUUUGCUCGGGGUCUCGCUGCACCCUGGGGAGGGAAAAGGGGUGUCUUGAGACGAAACAACAUUUCUCCCUCUUCUAUAACGUCCCACGAGGGCGUCUUUGGCAGGGAGGAGAAGAUAGAGAAUUUCAUCCAAGAAUUCCCAGCUGGAGACAUCUGUUCAGCAGCAAGUCACCUGAUGAACAGCUCUAACCAGCCAAGUGAAAAACAGGAGCUUUGAACACUUCUCCACACCCCAGCACACGGCAGAGUUCAUUAAAUGGCUGGGAAGCAUCAAGAGCCAGCGCUUGCCUGCACUGUCCAAGCAGUGGGUACCCAGCAGAAAGCUGCCUGGGGACCCCCUCUCCUGCCAACCUCUGGAAGGGCUGGAGUGCCCCAGGGACAGUUUAGGUGGGGUGCAGCAGUGCAGCCCCCUGAUCCUUUCUGCAUUUCACCCCAAUGAGUUCUGUGCUGUUGCAGGCAGGAGUGGGACAUCACAGGUGGAGAACACACUAGGAUCUUCCCUUUUUUUUUCUUCCCUUUGGAAUACCUUUAUUAAAUUGUUCAUUUAAUAUUUCAAAAGAAAAAGAGAUUUUUUUUUAACUUGAGAAAAGAGAGGAAAUGUUUUCUGAAAGCUGUAUUUUAAUUGAUCCAGGCUUGGGAGCAGGGAUGCUGAGGGAAGAAUUGCUGUCAUGGAAUUAACUUUAUGAAAGAAAAGCAAAUCUCCACCCUGUUUAAACAUGGGGAAAACAUCACAGAGGCAUCCUGCUGUACCAAAUGGUAAACAUGUCCAUGUAUUAUAUCACUUAUGGCUUCCUUUAGAGUUUUAUGAUGCUGUUCUCAAUUACUGUGUUUGCAUUUGUAAUUAGAGUGCAGAACACAUUGUGAAGGCAAAUUAUAGAGCUAACUUGUCCUUUCAAAAUAACCCAUUUGUUCAGUGUGCUCCCAGAAGCUUCUCUUUAUUCAAGGGACUCCAGUGAAGGACUAACCUCCCCUACUGAAUGUGCUGGAAUAUACAUCUGCUGCAGGGAAGGGCGAGGAAGAGAAACACAUUUUCACCCCAGGGCUUUGCUGUACUUGGGCCUGACCUUUAAACCACUGAAACUCCUGUUGGUUUCUGUAAGCACUAAGUCUGAGCAACUAAUGAAAUUGGGAGGAGGGGAGAAAAAUUAGUUGUGUGGGUUUUUUGUGUGUGUGGUGUUGUUGGUUUUGUUCUGUUUGGGGUUUUCUGUUGUGGUUUGCUUUGUUUUUUGUUUGUUUGUUGGUUGUUUUUGUGUGUGUUGUGGGUUUUUUCCCUCUGACACUGAUUAUCUCUGUGGCCUUGGUCAUGUCACUUGUCCUUUUUGUUCCUCCUUAACUGGCUAAAAAAAAUAUCCUAUGGAAGGGCUUGCACAUUACUGUACAAUCACAUAAAUAUCUAAAUGAAGGUGAAUAUGCACGGCUGAGUUGCCCUCCAGUAUCUUGCUCCUUUGCAGGAAAGCAAUUCUGAAGGCAGCUCUUCAGAGUAUACAUUCAGUCUUUGUCCUGGACUCCCCUUACACAGGGGCUCAUUCUGUAAUUAUUUAGGUGUAACAAUGAGAUGGCUUGGUGCCAUGUUGCCAUAAGUGCUCUACCAAAUCUCCGUGCAAAGUCACCAGAGCUCUCUGCCUCUUGGCUUUGCUGGGUGUCCAGCGGUGUCUCACUGAGCAACUUCUGACCAGCUGCAGCACAUGUGAUGCCCUUUUGUUGUGCUCUGGCUAUUGAGUGUCAUCAGCGGAGAUCUGAUCUUCCUUUAAGGCAGGUCGAUUUUAUGUACAGAAGACUGGAGCCAAGGGCAGCUGUGCACUUUGCCUUGGAAUUCAGCAGGGAAAAAACUGCAUCCAAGUGUGAACUUGGAUCCAAUAACACUCUACUUAGAGUGAAAAGCAAGCAAAGUCUCCAGUUUUUACUGUUCUGCCUUGUCUGCAAAGGAAUUCUGCAUUUGGGUUUGGUGGGUUUUUUUGUUUUUGUUAUUUCAAAACCUGCACUAAGCAGGAGGACUUUACUUUGAACAGGUUUCCCUGCGAGUGGAAAUGGCAUUUUCAUCUCCUGUGCCUUAGUUGGGAAGGCACAGGAAAGUGCCCUGCAGCACGUAGCUCUCCCAUCAGCAUGUCCUCCCCAUUCCUGGCCAUGAGAAGUUGCCUUGGCUUUGCUCUCCAGCCAACAUUCAGGAAAAUAUCAAGCUCAGUGCCUGACCCCUUCCUAACACACUGCUCAGGGGUGUCCUCGGCUCAUUCUCCAAGGCACCAUGAAACCAGGCCAAAAUCAAAUAAAAGGCUGUGUUCUCCCAGGGUGGCAGUAUUUGGAGGAUAAGAAACCCCAAAUGAACCCUCAAAUAUUGCAUUAUAAGAUAAUUAAGAGCUCUUUUUUUAAACAUUUUUAUUUCUUUUUCGUCACUUGGCCCACUGUGAAGUGAUUUGUACAACUUUUAUUCCUGCCACAGGUUAUUCCUCAUUUUGUUUCUAAUACAGCUGCUUUGACAGUUCACCAUAGCAUUGGCUCUCUCCUUGCCCACGCUCUUGCAUGGGCCAGGAAAGUUGGUUCCCUGGGCCCAACUUUCUGUCAGGUGCUUGUUCCUUCUGAGCAAAGGUUAAGUCAUCUUCUGAUGAUUCAUUGGAAAAACUGGUUUUAUUACUUUCUCUGGGUAUGGGAGAAUUUCCUUAAAGAAAGAAGCUACAGCACAUGGGAUGACCAUCCCAAAGAGAAGAACUGCCAAGGGGGUUUGCCAUAAAUUAUGGGUUCAUCUUGAUUACCAGUAUCAAUUUUUUUCAUUUAAUGGCAUUAAGUCCAAGAAAGUGCCUAGAAGAACGAGUUGGAGCUUUAUAAAUUGUGGGAUUAUCUGUGAAGUGGUUUAGGAAGGACAUUUUCUGCUGUUUGCUUGAGAGAAGAGGAGGUCCCAGUGUGGCAUUCCGUAAUACCAGAUGCACCCCAUUUUCCAUAGCUGUGUGUUUAAAAUAUGGCCAGGGUUCACUGAACAAUGUCAAAACACGUCUGCAAGGCUGACCAGGGAAUGAAAUACAGCAAGCUCAGUUUUGUUGAGGGAACAAAAGAGAGAAAGGCAUUUGUCAUCCAGAGGAUCAAAUUUGAGAAACACCUACUGUUGUUUCCCUAGCUGGGAUUUAAAACAUAUACGUCAUCACCCUGUCCUUGUUGCCAGUAAUGUUUGCUUUGCUCUGCCACCACGCUGCUCAGGCAGCCAAACGUGCCCCAUGGUUCUUCCCUCUGUUUCCAACCCGAGGAGCUUCGGCUCCAGCACCUCGGUCCAGGGAACCCAGCAGGCUGCCAGCAUCCUACCUGCCACCAAGGACACAUCCAGGCCACCAAAAAAUAAGCAGGUGUGAGAUGCAAUACAGUGCUGUUUGUUUUUCUGGAAGGUCAAUAAUUUUGCUAAAACUUCAGCUUCCCAUUCUUUUAAUUUUUGGUGGAAGCCUGUUUCAGCAGUUGGAGUAAGAAAACAUCCUCCAUGUAAUACGCGGAAGACUUCUUUGAAUAAAUGUAUUUCAAAAUGAAAGACAAAUGAAAUAGCACAGAGGAAAAAUUCACAUUCAUGUUAGAUUCCACAAAGUGAUUUUGUAACACCUACAGUGCAGUACCCAUGUUUUCUGACAGUGCUCACAACAACAGUAGCAUACAAGCAUAUAAAAAAAAUUAAAACCCCUUUACUAGAUGGUAUCCUUGUAGUUUGUGCUAUUUUGAACCUGUCAACUGCUUAAGUAACAGCUUGUCCGUGAUUGCAGCCCGGCUGAAUAUGAGACCUGGUAGUAUGGUUGCAAAUUGUCAAGAGCUGAGUGAUCUCCUGGGUUGUGAUUUAUGACUCCAAGAACAAUGACAAGCAGGGAAAAAAGGCCCUGGUAAUUUCGGAAGCACUUGUGGAAACAACUAGAUCACUUUUUUUAUUAGGUCAUUUAUAGAAUUCUUCCCUUUAAAAAUUAGAUCCUUGAUGAGUGCGUGAAAAAUGCUUUGUCCUGUUUUUCAGCUGAGGGAAAAUCCUGGGCUUUGGAAACGCUGCUGUGCAACAUCUUUAACUUCACACAGGCUGAGGAAGCUGCAGGAGCACACAGGACUUCCCUGAGCUCACCCACCAACCCUGGCCCAUCUGCAGUUGAAGCCCUUUGCAAAGAUUAAUUCCUGCCAAGCCCUUUGCAGGAAUUGUGCUGGUUUUUGAACCAUUUUCUCACUGGUCACUCAUAACUUUCUGCUGGCCUGACCUUUGUCUAUGACACAGCUGCAGGCUCCUUCUCAGCUGCUGGGAACUUUCUAGCACAUGGCACUGGUACAGGCAAAUAAUACUGAUGAUGAAAGCUUGGAACAGAGUUUUCAGAGUGCUGCAGUUUGAAGCUCUUUUAUCCUGGUUUUGGCCCUUCAUUCUAACAGUAGAAUUAUGUAGUUGUCAUAUUUUCACUUUCUUCAGCAGUGGUUUCUCCCUUGUUGGCCAAGGAGCUGAGCAGUAUAAUCGUUAUAAGGAGUUAGUUGAGUUUCUCUAGAAGGGCCCAGUGUCCUGCUCUACCACCCUCCUGAGCUUGGGAACAGAUCUCAGAGUUUGUUAGCGGGCUAAUGAGAGACAGCUGAUAUCUCUGAAAACACACAUUUAACCAAAAUCUCGCCCUUCCCUUGUUUGCUUUCUUGGAAGUUGCCAGUCAGUGUUCCCAUAUUGUUCUGUCCCAAUGAUACAGUCACAGCAUUGUCAUUUCUGAAUAGUCUUUCAGAGAAACUGGUUCAAAAAGGGACCGAAGCCACUCGGCACCGUGGGAGUUCCCCGGGGUCCCAGCACAGAUUCAAGCUCUUGGGAUGGGUCUUGACUUAUUUUGCACCAUCACUAAGUCCAUUAUAAUGGGGAUUUCUGCUAUGAAAAAUAAUGAAAGAUCAACCUGGGAAAUGAGCUCUUGCUGCAGAAAUCCCCAUUUCCUUCCUUCUCUUUCCUUUAAAGAGGAGAAGGGAGAUCUCUGCAUUUCCACAGCACCGUGUUUGAGGGAUGAGGAAAAGACCUGUGCUGUGCCAUAUUCUCUAGCCCAAUGAGAAUCAAACUCUCUCUCAGCUUUGAGUUUUAUUAUUCUCUUGCAAAACCCUCUUCUGUUAUGCUAUGCACCAACAAAAAUCCCUUUUAUUGCCAUUAAAAAGGCAGCUGAGAUGCCCUUUUUAAUUACUAUUAUCUGUACAGAACCCAGCAGAUAAAAAUGGGCCCCAGAUAAAAGGUGUGUCCUUUCUAGUAAAGCACAAAAAAAUCUUAAUCUUUAGUCCAGAAGCAGUAGAUUGCCACAAACAGUCAGCAGCAAAAAUCAUUAAUCUUUGCUGCUUGCCCAACUGGUACUAGUAGUAAAGAAGAUAAUACACUAGCAGAAUCAGUGACCCACUACAAAUUGGUCCUGAAAGGUCCACCAGCCUAAAUAGACUUUUGCUGAUCCAACACUUGUUAGGAAUCCCAACAAAGAGACUAUUGGCUCAUCUGAUGAGCCGCUCACUAUUGGGCCUUUUGCAAUGGCUGGUGAUGGAUGACCAUACCCUCUUUGAGGGGGAAGAUGCAGCUCCUCGUAUGGGGCCUUUUCUCAUCUUAAAUUUGUACUCAAUAAAUCACAGGUGCAGAAGAGACAGCAUCAGUUUCAUUACACCUACAUGCUCCAGUAUCAAUCAUGCCAACACAACGGGCUGCGUACAGUUCAUUUCGGGAGACUCUUUCUGUUCCAAUACCAUUUCCAUUCUGUUGUGCUUUAGCAUUCCUAAAGUGUUGAGCCUCCGCAGUGAAGCACUGGGGGAGAAGGGUGGGAUGCACUAUAAUUGUGCUCUUUCAAGGGGAGCCAGGGCUUAGCUCAUAUACUUUGGUUUACGAUCCCUUGCUGUUGUUAAAGGUGAAGUCUUAAAUAGUUCAGUAGAUAACAUCACCUACUCUGAGGUCUCACACAUCACUUUGCUUUUUCUUUGGCUCUUUAGCAGAUACCUUUAGUCUGGGUUGGAACAAUUGCCCUAGAAUGAUCCCGUUUUGUGAUUAUAAUUUCAUUUUUCUAUCAGUUUUAUGAUAUUUGUUUAGAUGAUGCUGUAAUCCUUUACUUAUCCUUACCGAAACCUAACUGUAACAAAGAAACAGUUUCAGGGAGCUUCUUCAGUGCUUUCUCAUUUACAAGAGUUUCUGCCGUGUUCUCUCUGGCUGGUAAAUACCCUGGGACCUUUGAAAGGUAUGUCCGUUACAAUUCACAAUUUAUGAAUGUAUUGCAGAGCUCCCACAUUGUUAUGAUAAUUUCAAUGUCAGCAGUUAAAAUACACUUAAAACGAAGGAAGCUUUAGAGCUUUCAGACUUUAUAUUUUAUGUACAUAAUCAAAUACUUUCAUGGCAUUCAAUGCGUGUCUAAUGCUCAUCACAGAAACUAUGAACUAUUUUUUUCAAGUAUAAUAAAAGGUAAUAGAUUGUUAUUCCCCGUGUGUGUCCAAAAUCCACUUUGCCAUCUUUAAACAGUGAGAGUAAUUUCUUAGUGUCCAAUUAUACUCCGAUUUGCAUAGGAGAAACUAUGUUUCGUGCAAUUAAGUUAUCACAAAGUCCUGUCAUUCUGUAGCAUUCUGUUAAUCUUUAACUCAACGAAAAGCCAUGUCAGCAAAGCACCAACACAGAAAAGAUGGGUGUUCAAAGGAACUGCAAUAGGAGCACAUUCAGGACUGUCAGACAGAACAAGCUUUUCAAAAGGACACUUCCAUUCAGUUUAAACCUACAAGGGUGUUGGGCUGACACCUCCAUUUAUUUGCUGUAGGGCUAUAAGGAGAGAAAGAGAGAGACUUUCAGUCUUAUUAAAGCAGUAUUUGGAAUACAAAAAAAGGGAUUCUUUUCCUCUGCUCCCUUUACUCUGUCUCAGCUGCAGAUCAUAAAGCAUGGACAGCAUUAAUGCAAGACAAGAAAGUAUUGGUUCUAAUGUGCAGCUGAAAGACUUGAUUUUCUGCAAACUAGCUACUAAAAGGGAAUGUGUUUUUAAAAUGUAGUUAAGAGUACCGAAGUCCAAGUAAAUAGCAUCUUUCUGCCACAUAGUUUUGCGGAUGUCUGGUCCAUGAAGUAAAAGCAGGUUGUGGCUAACAACCCCAGUAUGGUUCAGGGAUUAUUCUGGUCAGGUACUUGCAGCAGGUUCGGUUUUACAAGAUUAAAAUGGUAAUUGAUCUUUGAGAGAACAUUGGAGGACAAAACAUGAUUAUGCUCGUAACAGAUCCUUAGCUGGUGUAAAUUGACAUAAGACAUAAGCAGUGGAGAGAGCCCAGCUGCAUCUCUGACCCUGUCUGCUCUCAACAUACUGGGCACACAAUGAUAUUCAAAGGUGUGAAUGUAACAGGUAAAAAUUUGCAGGCUGGUUAUUUCUGCAUGAUUUCUGAAGCUUCUGUAAACACAGCCCAAGCGGGUUCUUCCUACGAACAUUGUCAUUACUUUCACUGAAAUCUGGCACUUAUCUUUCACAUUUUGUCUGGGGAUCUUUACUUCUGUGAAUAUGCAUUAUCUAAUAUUCAUUCACUGGGUCAGUUUGUAGAAAAUGUUUCACUUUCAAGGUUGCUUCUGAAUUUUCAUAUUUUUCAUUUUUCAUCUCAAUUAAAACCAAACCAGGCUGUGAGUCCCCUUUGUAGUUCUUUUAUCAUACUACUAACUCUGUGUAUUUUUUCACCUAUAUACAAUAAAAAUGUCUUUUAAGUAUAUAUAAAUAUAAUAUACACACGUCAGUGACUUUUUUUUAGGACUACUGUCCAAAGAAACUUUUCUUGUCUUUGCACUGUGCUACAAAACCCAGUUUUAAGUCAAAAGAAACUGUAAAGAACUCUUUGUUAUCUUCAUUUUGGCCUUAAUCUAUAAUGAAUAUUAAUAGCCCUUGUAAGGUGAGGUAUAGAUUAAAAGCAUUAAAACAGAGCUUGGAUGUUUUCAAAGGUUGCAUGCUGGGUAACAUUUCUGAAAGUGCCAAAGGGCCAGAUUUGUUAGUGCCAUUUCAGAAGUGACUUGAGUUCCUCUUUUUAAAGGUGUCUAAAGCUGGGCAAAAGUACAAAUAGGUAUUUCAUGUAAGGUUCAAAAGCACCUUCAUCAUCACCAAUAUAAAAUAAAACUGAGGUGCUUUUACAAAUCCCUUCAGAAACUUGUUUGCAUUGUUAUGGUCUCUAUCUAAAUAGCUUCCAAAAAUGGGACUUCAUCCUUUUCAUGUCUUUGGGAAAUGUGUCCAACAUGCCCAUGGGGAUAGCACAGGCUUUUAGCCCAAGGGGAAGUCCAGGUGAUAGAUUUUGUGUGGAAAACCCAAAUAGGCCAUUCAAACAGGGUUGAACUCUGUUCCUGCCACAGUCAGUGACACAAGUGCCACGGAUGAUCAGUGACUUUGUUCCAGGUCUACUGGGACUUUAAGCUUUGCAUCUGCAGCUGAAUACUAAUAACCACAUCAAUAGCAGGAAGCUUUCUCCCACGGACACCACUGUAAGCACAAAUCUGGCAAGAUGUCAACUGAUUUGGCAGAUGAGGGCUUUAUUGCUGCUGGUGGAAAGUUCAGGGCCUGAUUGAACCUCGUAUGUAACACUGGGCUGCACCCCAGCCUUUCUGGACAGGGUUUUUCAGCUUGCACAGGCUGCUGGGCUCAGAUGUGUCAUUGCACACAUGCGCCUGUGAGGACACAUGGACCUUGUGUGGUUUCUACCAGGUGCUUGUAGUCACAACUGCCACCCUGAAACAGCUCCCAGAAGACUCUUAACCCAUGAAACUGGUGAUGCAUUGCAUGGCUUCUGCAGCCCAAACCCGAAUUUGCUCAGUGAACUUGCAGGUGUUGCUACCGAUGGGCAAGGGGUUGAGAAGGAAGUGCUGGUAUUUUUGGCAGCGUGUGUUGUAAAUUCAGGUGGGACUAAUUACACCCCAUCAAUAUCAAAGAGGUGUGACUGACCACCAUGUUAAAGAACAUGUACAAGAAAGUGAUUGUUUUGGGAGACCAAUUUAAAACAUCUGAGGAUAACUUUGAAAAAUACUGCUCUUGAGUAGUAAGAAAGUUUGUCUUUACUGGAGAGAGUUUUGUGAAAUACUUUGCUUGUGUUGGUCAGCAGGCAAAGAGCUGGAUUAAAGGGCUGAAGUAGAAUCUUAAUCCACCUCUUGGAGAAACCAAUGGGGCCCAGACUGCUCUCAGGUAGUCAGGAGCCAUGAAAAUAAUUCUGGAAAAUGUUCUCAUAACCUGAUAAAAGAGCUGAUUUAAUAAAAUUAUUACAUUGUCAGUUUAUGAUUUUACUUCGAAGUCUUUUGGCCUAGUUCAGGUUAAAAAAAAAAUCACCAGCUUUAGUUCUUAUGCAGAAAAAAGACCCCAUCAUUUAUUAGAUGAAUGAAGAUAUCAAUUUCUGUUUAAACAUUAACAGGGUGAUGCCAAAUAUUAGUCAGUUCCUAAUAAUUUUGAGGGAUUAAAAAGAUAAUAAAAGUAAUAGUCCAUUACAUUACCUACUUCAGCAAGAUUGUAAUGAAUGUAAUAAAUUCCAGAUCAGGGUUAUAACAACUUCCAUCUAUUUAAAAUGAAUUUGUAGGGUUACUUUCAUUAACUAUGUAUAUGGAGAAAAUGAUCUGACAUAUUACUUUAAAAGAGCUGUAAAACCGAUUAGAAGGAAAUAUGCUUCCCAGACAGUGAUCUGGGCCACUGGGGAAAUUUUAUCGUUGGGAAGAAGUGGGGAAAAAGGAAGGGAAGAGGAAGGUAUCUUAGGGGAUGCUAUUGCAUCAUGUCUUUGAUGUGGCCCCGAAGCCAUUUUGCUCCUUGGGAGAGAUUCCGGCAGUAACAACAGUCAGAGACCGGGAAAGGGAUGAAAGUCACUGUCUCUCCCGGCUUUCCUAUUCCCUCCACCUCCUUCCUCGGAAAAGGACAGAUCUGUUAAUGAAUAACGGGCUCCUGCGCUGGGGAUUUGUGCAUGGAAAUGAAACUGCGCCUGGUUCUGGUCCGGCCUUUCAGCUGCCCAGGGGAAGGCUGAGGCAUUAAAGGGGACGGUGGCCUCAUUGCUCGGAGGAGACAAGGGACCUAGCACUUGACUGCACUACAGAAAUUACUGCUGCACCUAGAAUGCAGCCUUCAUUUAUCAAUUUCAUAGCAAGGGGAAAAGGGAAAGGGAGGGGGGAAACCCAACAUCUGACUGCCUUUUGCAGCUCACGCUACAUCAAGCCGCCGAGAGCCCUCCAAAUCCAGUCAUGUGUGUUAUAAAGAGUCUUGGAUAAAGUAACUUAAUACUAAUGAUUUAUACUUAAUUGGGCCUCUAAGUGAUUAAAGUGGCAGUAAUGAAUGAGUAACAUCCUUCUAAUUCCCUUUUUCCAUUUGGCUUGGGCUGAAGGCCCUUUCUUUGUGCAGGAUUUGACUUGGGGGUAAGCAAUGCCAGUGUUUUUUAAGCUUUUAGUAGUACAUCUGGAAUGAGCCGCUCGGAUCAUGUUUACAAUAAAUGACUCCGUAAGAGUGCUACCAGGGCAUUGAUUUCUUUCUUGCUUGCUUUCUUGCUUUCUUUUGCUUUCUUGCUUUCUUUUAUUGGAUUAGCCAAUUGUAAGGUUAAUGAAUAUGCAUUUGGCAACCCAUGUUUGCGAGGCCAAGUCCCACAUGGGCAUCAAAGGGUUCAAAAUGCCCGAGCGUAAAUAUCAGCUUUGUCAAAAUAUUGAUUAAGAGCAACACAGAGCCCUCUCCCCUUGCACUAACAUGCACAAUGAUAAAACUGCUUUACGUAUUUUUUUUUACUUAUUUUAUAGGACUUAAUAUUGCCAAUUAAUUGACUGAAUCAGCUGAGAUUUUCUAACUCUGUACUUCAGUGUUCUUUCCCUGCUUUUUCAAUCUAAAAAUGAUCAUUAUCCUCCUUUUAAAAAAAUAGUUCAUUAUAUAAAUGGAGGCUUCAACACUCACAUUAUGUAACUUUUUAAAUUGAAAUGGAGAUCCAGAACCUCAUGUGUUUCACUUGAUAUUGGUAAAGGGAAUGUUACACAGUUUGAAGAAGGUUUGAAGUCAGAAAGAGAUGUGUGGAGCACUGCAGAUCCAGCUCAUCCCUUGCAGCUGGGGCAGCUCUGAGGUGGGGGAACAGGAGAGGAGAAAUUCAUUGUUUAUAGCACUAGGCUAAAUUGGCAGUUACUUAAUGUUAACUUGGGUAUGCUUACCCACGCGCCCAAAUUAUACCUCUUGCUGGAAUGCAGAUAGGAGUGCACCACAUAUACUGUACGGUAAUAUUUGGUUUGUGACAGCAAAACUGCUAUAAUGCAAAUAAAAAACCCAAUAACAAUGCUUAUGCUUCUUUUUAACAACAAAAUAAAGAUCAAUCUAGACAAUCCCUUCAGCUCUCUUUCAAUGUAUGCUUUCUUAUGUGACUAUGGUAGAUUCCGAACCACCUGGUUUUAAUGUAGUAGGAGAUGAUGUAUUAAACAAAUUCAGGAAGAAGACACCAAAAAGACAUUAUUUGGGAUUUGAUGGGGGUUUUUUGUGUGUGUUUUGGGGAUUUUUUUUGGUUAGUUGGUUGGUUGGUUGGUUCGAGGUUUUUUUCCUCCACCUCUGAUUCAGGAAUAUUUGAUGGUGAGAAAGCUUUAUGAAAUAGCUUUGAUUUCAUCAGAUACUGUCAGAGACGAGGGAUAUUCAGCAAGCGUGAAUACUCCCUCACCUGAUUCUGAGGGCAGAUUGCUAUCGAAGGCUGGCUGCCGUCAUGGGUAAUAAAACUGUACCGUGGGUGUUGAUAGAAACUGGCUAAUUAAUAGACCAUUACUGUGCUGUCAUUGACUUACAUUAGAACCCUUUGAGACUAGUUAUGCUGGCAAAAAUCUGGAGGAAAUCUCAGAAUCUGGUGAAACUUGGAUUUAAUGAGACUCUCUGACCUGGAUUUCUCCUCCCUUCUUUUCUCAAGAUCUCAGAGUCACCUUGACAAACUGGAGUGUGUGUGGGGAGAAAUGGUUUGAUGCAUUGGGUUUUCUCAGUCUUGCGGUUCCAGCAAGGGGUAAUCUCAGUUAAACAUCUUUUGGGAUGGUGCAGCAAUGAUUCAGGAGAAGGCUGACAAGGACAUUAUCAGGGAGUAGCAGGGAAGGGAGAGGUAUUAUCCAGAGAUACAGAAAAUGCCUGGUCAGGAAUACAAGAAAUGAGAAAAAGCGAAGAGUGAAAGAAAGAGAAGUAACAACAGCAUUUAACCCAGGGAGAAAUUGUCAAAGUGAUUUCUGCAGCAGUGGGAAGGAGAAAUUGUGAGGAAAAGUCAGAUUUAUGGAGGAGCAGAGAACUUGAGAUUGGAGCCUGUCAAAGGUUGAAGGGGAGUUAGAAAAAGGAAAAAAAAAAUUAAAUAAAGGCAGCAAUUUUGCAUUCCUAUUGCUAGCAAUGAACCAGCUUUUGCACCCUGGAGGCUGGCCAUCUCCACCGAGUGCCUUGGGAACCAACCAAAAGGCUGUGUCCAGCUGCAGUAGCCAGGGCAGACAAGCAGGGUUUGGUUUCCAGCACCAAAUUUUGGCUGCUGUGAACACAGCUGAGUUAUGCAUCAAACAUUUGCAUCGUCUGUGGAGAGUGAUGGCAGGGCAGCACACAGCCUGGCAGACAGAUCUGCCCGUCUCUCUCCUGCAAAGCUAUUUCUGCUCAGUCCCUUUGCACAAAGCAACACUAUCUCCAGAAGGAAAGAUGUGAAAAUGUGACCUGUUGGGAUCCUGGGAGAUGCUUCUCCUCUAGAUCCCCCUGACCAAAGUGCAUCAAACCAUCUUAAAAUAAAAGAAAAACUGAAUGCACAUCUCCACUCCCUGAUAAUCCAUCCAAACUCUUCUGAAGAGCCUCAUUCAUGGCACAGAGUUCUCAGGGGGACUUGCUGUCUUCAAGGACUAGUUAGCUGUACAAACAUACCAUUUGCUUUUGCAUCUCUUUGAACUAUCCUCAAAACACAGGCAUAAUAAUUGGAUACCCUUACUCUGCUGGCCUGCACGGCAUGGGUCAUAUAUGUAAACAUCAAACUCAAAUAACAACCCCCAAAUUUAAUUUCUUUCUACCUAAACAAGUUCUUUUAUCAUAAAGCAAUAAAUUUGUCUUGGUGCUAGCAAUUUGUUGCGGGUGACAUAACACCGCAAAUUGAUUAAUCGCUACUGUACACGACAAAAUGAGAAAAGCAAGGAAUUAUUAUGAAUAGCGUCCAUCUGAUACAGUAGGGAUUCAUUAUUCAAAAGUGUUAGCUAGUGGUUAGCUAUCCCCUUGUUGCAGAUUACAUUCAUUUGCAGAAUCCUACAUCAUGCUUACACAAAUCAACAAACAUGCAUUUAUUAAGACAUGGAAUGAAAGCUAUUAAAAUGUGAAAAAUUGCCUUUUUCUUUAAAAAAAAUGAGUCAAAUUUGGUGGUAGCUUUUUUUUUUUUUUUUUUUUGGUGGGGGAUGUUUCUAUGUGGCUGAAGCAAAGAAGCUUUUUACAUGAUUUCUGUGUUUGCAUCCAGAACCAGUCACAUCAAACUAAGUCCAUUGAUACUAGUUGUUAGUAUCUUACAGUGAUUCUUUGUAUUGCAGGUUGGAGGACCUGGCACACCAGAAGUGUUGGGCUGAAAUUAUAAAUGUAGUAAAAUAGGCUCUUUUUGCAUUUUCAAGCUGAUUUUAAUUUUUAGCAUUAUAUAUGUACCGACAGAUUGCAAUCAUGCCUGAGGAACUUGUUCUGCUUGAGGCGAAGUACAAAAGGGUCAAUAAAAGAAGAUAAAGUACAAAAGCAGUAUUUAGGUCCAAGAAGAUCCAUGUUUCCCAGGUUGAACACAGGACCUUGUGUUAAAUGUGAAAUUAUUCUGAAAAAAAUAAAUUUCAGAUGCAAACUGCAGAAAAAGCAUGACCCAGACCCCUUUGUUGUAUAGCGGUCUUGAUAUCUGAGGAUCACCAACCUCUUCUGAGACCAGGAGCAAGGUUUUGUGUGUCCAUCUCUAUUGCACAAGAGUGAUGUAUCUAAGCUUGUCAUCACUGUCAGGCAAUUCGUGUUCUCCGUGUAAGCAGGUCUCGCCACAAUAACACAGGGAAAAGAUUGGUUUAACUUUUGAGGAAGGGCAUGAAGCAAAUAUAUUCUUUUCUUCUGUUCCCGUUUCAGGAGCUCUUGCACUCCCGCUUUGUGAUGCUUCUACAGAUAAUAGGAUUAAGGGCAUCAAACAGCGAACCUUCCCUGCCUCCUCCCCUCCCUCUGCACCUCCUGUUGGUGUAAAGUGCUUUUCCUUCUCUUUGGAAAAUUGCUUCCAUCAUGCGUUGCUUGCGGAAAGAAACACACUAACUGUGGAAGCAGCAGUUCAGCAACCGCUCAGUCUUUGAACUCAGGUCUCUUGUCUUUUAGUUCUGCUCUGAAAUGCCAGAUGCUAAAUUGUUUUAAUGGCUACUUGCAAUGAAUCAUCUCUAAAAUAUCACCGACAGGGGAUUUUUUAAAUGUUGCUAGAGUUUGAAAGUGAGGUUAGUCACUUCACUUGGAUGUUCUGUAUAAGAAAAGAAAAUGGUACUGAAAAAAUGAAAACAAGCAUGUAAAACAGGGGUGUUAGGUCCAUGGUACAUAAUAUUAGUGCAUUCUGAUAUUGAUUAUUGGUUACUCUUUUAGGUCUAGUUUCAUUAACAUGUUGUUAUUAGACUAGUUAAGAUACCUAUGAGGCGUUAACAUGAGUCUUAUGCUGAGAAAAAUAUCCCCAAGCCUGUUUCUCAGCUCCCCUGAGCAAUGUGGGCCCUGAGACAGCAAAAGUGCUUUGUGCUGUGGAUGGCUUCUCCUUGUUUGAGUCCACUGAAGCCGUGUAGACCUCAGUAACCAUUUAUUUGCACAUCAGAAUCACUAAAACCAGAUCACUUCCCAGCCAGGACUGGAACCAGGGCCGACCCUCCUUGUUUUGAUGCUGCUGCCAAUCUGGCUUGUGUUUCUAAAAAGGAUGCUGCUGUUUUAUCCUGGUGCACUCACAACAGUCAGCCAUGCCAAUCUGUCCUUUCCAGACUGUUUUAGGUGCUCUCAUUUCAUGGGUACUGGCUGACUCAUUUAAAACAAGAAGGCAGCGUGCUGCGUGGUGUAACUCAGCUCUGCCUGGUGAGCAGAGUGGUGAUGCUCACCAGAACACCUUCCUCUGCACCCGCCAUCAUUAGAACACAGAAAGGAAAAAGAAAAGCUUUUGAGUGAUGACCCAUGAGAAGAAACAUGGGAACCUCUUCACACCAGCCCUGCCCAAGCUGCCCCUUUAAACAUGCCUGGUGCAGCCAGUGGAAGGUGGCAGGGACAUGGUGGGAUAGGUCCACAGUGACACUGGGAGGUCCAGUUCUCCCCCAGGUGACACACGGAUGGACAUCAGACCCUGCUGAGGACCUGAGGCUUGUAUUCUGAAGGACAACAGUGGCAAACCUGGUUACAGCUGUAAUCCAAAUCCCAGGGGAAAUCCUGACCUCCCUGGUGGUUAAAUGGGAUUGUGAGGUUCUGACUGGCCUGACAAGUGUUUAGGAGGAAAGAAGACAGGAUAUUUUGCUUAUCCCUUCAGGAGCAGCUACAGUACAAAAUAAUUGGCACUGAAUUCCGGAUCAGUUAUGUUUCUAAUCUAAUUCUGGACUCAGACUUGACUCAGCAAAGAGGUUUAAGCACUUCUAAGGUGCCGUCAAAUCACUGUUCUAUCUAGAACUGCAACAGAGUCAAUUCCUGCAGCAAAUUAGCUCUUGGCCAUUCAUCUCUGUGCUAGGUAAGCCAUUUCCAUCAGCCACCUACAGUUUUGAUGAGAGGAAUGAAGGGAAGAAAAAGAAAGAUUUCUGUCUGGGCAGUCCUUCUUUACCCUGGGAGUAUUUCUGUGCUGCUGUGCAGAGAAAAGUUAAUCUUUCUUGACGGCUGAUGCAUGUGGAUAGUACUUCAUGUAUUUGAUACUGAAUGCUUGCUAUAGCUCAGUGAUCCCAUAUAAACACUGCAGAAGCAGAGGGGACCCUGUGAGAGGAAAAGAUCUGUCUUAAAUCUCUGUGUCUGUCACAUCACAAAAUCCUUCUGUAAUGACAUGCAAACUUCAGAGAGGCUGCAGCAUCUCUGUCUUGUCAGGGAGACACUUGGCUGUUAAUGACUAACUUCCCAGUGACAGCAUUUCUUUUUGUAGCUUGCUUCCCCUUGGAUUUUUGCAAAGACGUCCACAAAAUAAAUAGAAAACUAAAAGCAAUCCAUCAAGGGCAGGUGACUUGUGUAGGUGGAGAGCAGGAAUCUGCACCCAAAUCAAUUGGACCAAUUUGGGAUUUUUUUUUUUUUUUCAAACGUGGCAGCAUAUUCCUUCCUUCCUUCCUUCCU